AUUGAACGCUGGCGGCAGGCCUAACACAUGCAAGUCGAGCGGUAGCACAGAGAGCUUGCUCUCGGGUGACGAGCGGCGGACGGGUGAGUAAUGUCUGGGAAACUGCCUGAUGGAGGGGGAUAACUACUGGAAACGGUAGCUAAUACCGCAUAACGUCGCAAGACCAAAGUGGGGACCUUCGGGCCUCAUGCCAUCAGAUGUGCCCAGAUGGGAUUAGCUAGUAGGUGGGGUAACGGCUCACCUAGGCGACGAUCCCUAGCUGGUCUGAGAGGAUGACCAGCCACACUGGAACUGAGACACGGUCCAG
rnacentral:rRNA from 1 species